UACAGAGGGUGCAAGCGUUGUUCGGAAUUAUUGGGCGUAAAGGGCGCGUAGGCGGUGCGGUAAGUCUUUUGUGAAAUCUCCGGGCUCAACUCGGAGUCUGCAGGAGAAACUGCCGUGCUGGAGUAUGGGAGAGGUGAGUGGAAUUCCCGGUGUAGCGGUGAAAUGCGUAGAUAUCCAGAGGAACACCAGUGGCGAAGGCGGCGAUCUGGACGAGUACUGACGCUGAGAUGCGAAAGCGUGGGGAGCAAACAGG
rnacentral:rRNA from 1 species